rnacentral:rRNA from 1 species
AGCGAACGCUGGCGGCAGGCUUAACACAUGCAAGUCGAACGCCCCGCAAGGGGAGUGGCAGACGGGUGAGUAACACGUGGGAACGUACCCUUUGGUUCGGAAUAACUCAGGGAAACUUGUGCUAAUACCGGAUACGCUCGCACGAGGAGAGAUUUAUCGCUGAAAGAUCGGCCCGCGUUGGAUUAGCUAGUUGGUGGGGUAAUGGCCUACCAAGGCGACGAUCCAUAGCUGGUCUGAGAGGAUGAUCAGCCACACUGGGACUGAGACGCGGCCCAGACUCCUACGGGAGGCAGCAGUGGGGAAUAUUGGACAAUGGGCGAAAGCCUGAUCCAGCCAUGCCGCGUGAGUGAUGAAGGCCUUAGGGUUGUAAAGCUCUUUCACCGAUGAAGAUAAUGACGGUAGUCGGAGAAGAAGCCCCGGCUAACUUCGUGCCAGCAGCCGCGGUAA